CAAAGAAUUAAUGAAGACAUUUAGUAUGACAUCAUUAAGAACUGUUCCAGGAACUUCGCUCAGGCAUUUGAUGGGCUGUCUGACCUUGAGCAAGCAAGCAAACUGGAAUUGGCCGGGAAUCAACGAAUUGCAAUCAGCUCCCACCAGGAUAAACCAGAAUUCUUUAUCUCCCUUACAAAUAUUGUGCUUUUAGAUGUUGAGCGUCUCAGAAGGCAGAAGCACAAGUCACC